AGGGUAGCUUGCUACCUGACCUAGCGGCGGACGGGUGAGUAAUGCUUAGGAAUCUGCCUAUUAGUGGGGGACAACAUUCCGAAAGGAAUGCUAAUACCGCAUACGCCCUACGGGGGAAAGCAGGGGAUCUUCGGACCUUGCGCUAAUAGAUGAGCCUAAGUCAGAUUAGCUAGUUGGUGGGGUAAAGGCCUACCAAGGCGACGAUCUGUAGCGGGUCUGAGAGGAUGAUCCGCCACACUGGGACUGAGACACGGCCCAGACUCCUACGGGAGGCAGCAGUGGGGAAUAUUGGACAAUGGGCGAAAGCCUGAUCCAGCCAUGCCGCGUGUGUGAAGAAGGCCUUUUGGUUGUAAAGCACUUUAAGCGAGGAGGAGGCUACCGAGAUUAAUACUCUUGGAUAGUGGACGUUACUCGCAGAAUAAGCACCGGCUAACUCUGUGCCAGCAGCCGCGGUAAUACAGAGGGUGCGAGCGUUAAUCGGAUUUACUGGGCGUAAAGCGUGCGUAGGCGGCUUUUUAAGUCGGAUGUGAAAUCCCUGAGCUUAACUUAGGAAUUGCAUUCGAUACUGGGAAGCUAGAGUAUGGGAGAGGAUGGUAGAAUUCCAGGUGUAGCGGUGAAAUGCGUAGAGAUCUGGAGGAAUACCGAUGGCGAAGGCAGCCAUCUGGCCUAAUACUGACGCUGAGGUACGAAAGCAUGGGGAGCAAACAGGAUUAGAUACCCUGGUAGUCCAUGCCGUAAACGAUGUCUACUAGCCGUUGGGGGCCUUUGA
rnacentral:rRNA from 1 species